rnacentral:lncRNA from 1 species
AUGGGGUGUCACUACGUUGACCAGGCUGCUUUUGAACUCCCGGCUUCAAGCGAUCCUCCCACCUUGUCCUCCCAAAGUACUUGGAUUACAGGUACUUGGUUUUCAGUUCUUCAGUAUCACAAAGGACACAGCAAAGGCACCACCUCACUAGUGGGUGCUCAAAGGUUGUUUCCAGACUGACUGAUUCGGAAUUACUGGGUAGCUUUUAAACCAGAGAUUUCUCCCUUCCACCCUAGAUUCCUGACGAGGGAGGUGGCUUUUUUUUUUUUUUUUUGAGACAGAGUCUUUCUAUGUCGCCCAGGCUGGAGUGCAGUGGCGCGAUCUCGGCUCACUGCAAGCUCCGCCUCCUGAGUUCACGCCAAUCUCCUGCCUCAGCCUCCUGAAGUAGCCGAGAUUAUAGGCAACUGACACCAUGCCCAGCAAGUUUUUUUUUUUUGUAUUUUUAGUUGAGACGGGGUUUCACCAUGUUAGCCAGGAUGGUCUCGAUCUCCUGACCUCGUGAUCCACCCGCCUCGGCCUCCCAAAGUGCUGGGAUUACAGGCGUGAGCCACCGCGCCUGGCUAGGGAGGUGGCUUUUAAGAAAAAAAUAAAAGGACCCUCCAGGUGAUCCUGUUGUAAAUUAGGAAUCACUGGUCUUGAGUUCUCAGAGGACUGUUUUUUUUUUUUUUUUCUUUUCCGUAGCUGAAAUCCCCUUACCCCAUACAGCGCC